rnacentral:sRNA from 1 species
UGACCCUCAUGGGUCACCUAGCCAACUGACGUUGUUAGUGAACUUAGUAUUCACAAAUUACAGCCAGUAGAACCAAGUUUCUACUGGCUAUUUUUUC